GAUUUAGUAGUUUAAAAUUAAAACUUAAAUUUUGUAAAUUUAAAAUACAUGAAAAUGUCUAAUUCA
rnacentral:tRNA from 1 species